CUCCUACGGGAGGCAGCAGUAGGGAAUCUUCCGCAAUGGGCGCAAGCCUGACGGAGCAACGCCGCGUGAGUGAGGAAGGCCUUCGGGUCGUAAAACUCAGUCACCUGGGAAGAGAGGUAUGGGGAGUGGAAUGCCCCAUACGAGACGGUACCAGGGGAGGAAGCCCCGGCUAACUACGUGCCAGCAGCCGCGGUAAUACGUAGGGGGCAAGCGUUGUCCGGAAUCACUGGGCGUAAAGCGUGCGUAGGCGGUCUUUCAAGUCCGGGGUGAAAACUCAAGGCUCAACCUUGAGAAUGCCUUGGAAACUGGGGGACUUGAGUACUGGAGAGGCAAGGGGAAUUCCACGUGUAGCGGUGAAAUGCGUAGAGAUGUGGAGGAAUACCAGUGGCGAAGGCGCCUUGCUGGACAGUGACUGACGCUGAGGCACGAAAGCGUGGGGAGCAAACAGGAUUAGAUACCCUGGUAGUCCACGCCGUAAACGAUGAGUGCUAGGUGUUGGGGGUUCAUCCCCUCAGUGCCGAAGGAAACCCAAUAAGCACUCCGCCUGGGGAGUACGGUCGCAAGACUGAAACUCAAAGGAAUUGACGGGGGCCCGCACAAGCAGUGGAGCAUGUGGUUUAAUUCGAAGCAACGCGAAGAACCUUACCAGGGCUUGACAUCCCUCUGACCGGUUCAGAGAUGGACCUUCCCUUCGGGGCAGAGGAGACAGGUGGUGCAUGGUUGUCGUCAGCUCGUGUCGUGAGAUGUUGGGUUAAGUCCCGCAACGAGCGCAACCCUUGACCUGUGUUACCAGCACGUAAUGGUGGGGACUCACAGGUGACUGCCGGCGUAAGUCGGAGGAAGGUGGGGAUGACGUCAAAUCAUCAUGCCCUUUAUGUCCUGGGCUACACACGUGCUACAAUGGGCGGUACAACGGGAAGCGAGACCGCGAGGUGGAGCGAAACCCAAAAAGCCGUUCGUAGUUCGGAUUGCAGGCUGCAACCCGCCUGCAUGAAGCCGGAAUUGCUAGUAAUCGCGGAUCAGCAUGCCGCGGUGAAUCCGUUCCCGGGCCUUGCACACACCGCCCGU
rnacentral:rRNA from 1 species